GCAGUAGGGAAUCUUCCGCAAUGCACGAAAGUGUGACGGGGCAAUGCCGCGUGUGGGAUGAAGCCCUUCGGGGUGUAAACCACUGUCAGGGUCUAGGAACACAAUGACCAUACCCAAAGGAAGCACCGGCUAACUCUGUGCCAGCAGCCGCGGUAAUACAGAGGGUGCGAGCGUUAAUCGGAAUCACUGGGCUUAAAGGGUCCGUAGGCGGGGCUGCAGGCGUCGAGUGAAAUACCACGGCUCAACCGUGGAACUGCUCGGCGAACCGCAGUUCUUGAGGCGAGCAGAGGCGAUCAGAACGAUAGGUGGAGCGGUGAAAUGCGUAGAUAUCUAUCGGAAUGCCNAAGGUGAAGACAGGUCGCUGGGCUCGUCCUGACGCUGAGGGACGAAAGCGUGGGGAGCAAACGGGAUUAGAUACCCCGGUAGUCCACGCCGUAAACAAUGCGCACUGGGUCGGNGNGGUUUGACGCCUUCCUGGCCGAAGCAAAAGUGUUAAGUGCGCCGCCUGGGGAG
rnacentral:rRNA from 1 species